CUAAGGUCGCGCGGACGAGAGUGUACUUGCCUGGGCGGCCGCGUGAGGUGUGUGGCGCGCGCCGCGCCGGCCUGCCCCGUGUUCCAUCGGGGGCGGGGCGACCGCUCUCCCCCCAGCAGCAGCCAGGAGCAUGUCCUCGAGUAGGGCCAAGAAAGUGAAGAUGGCCACCAAGUCCUGCCCGGAGUGCGACCAGCAGGUUCCUGUUGCAUGCAAAUCGUGCCCUUGUGGCUACAUAUUUAUUAGUCGAAAGCUCUUGCAUGCCAAACGUGCUGAGAAGUCACCACCCACUGCAGAAAACAAGAGUGAGGCCAAAAGGAGACGAACAGAGAGAGUUAAGCGAGAGAAGAUAAAUUCUACAGUAAAUAAAGACUUAGAAAACAGGAAAAGGUCCAGAUCUAACAGCCAUUCAGAUCAUAGCAGACGGGGACGAGGAAGACCUAAGAGUGCCUCAGCCAAAAAGCAUGAGGAAGAAAGAGCUUCUCCUGGGCUGGGAGUGUUUCACCAGGUAAAUUUUCUUCUCUGCCAUCUGUUUGGUUUAUCCACCAGCAUGGAGAGGGCAGAAUCUUCUGAGUCAGGGCUUGUGCUACUGCAGCUGAUCAUUAGGAUGCAGAGAAACCACAUGUUCUGUGGUCAAUCGACCAUUUUAGUUAAAGGAACUCAUUAACAAGUGUACUACUGUGGCUGCUGCUGUUCUGGCCAGCAUCAUAGCAAUGAAAUGAAUACCUAAUAAGGAACAUGGUAGUUCAAGUGAGAGCCUGAGAAAAUCUAUUAUACAACAUCAAUGAUAGCCCAUUCAUUUCCCUUUCUUCUUCACCAUCACUGGAAAAACCUAUUACAAGACCAAGAAGAGCUGCUGUAGUAUAAGAGGUAAAAUAUCACAGCAUAUGAAAAGGUCGGUCUGCACCCUUUCGCUGUGGGGCAUUUUGUUUUAUUUUUGGAGUAUCACAGAUUUUGUUUAGUUUCACGUUUUUACAGGAAGAAGUGAAGUUUCCACAGCUUGUGACGUUCCCCAUUCAAAAAUAACCAGCUAUUGAAUAACUUGUCCAGGUUAUGAGAAGUACAGGAAAUAACAUACUUUACCAUAUCGACACUAGGGACUGUGCAUGUCCAGGAAUGUGGUUGUACCAUAACCUCCCUAUUAUCUAUACCUAAACCCCAGAAGCCUAUGUCUGAAGGCAAGUAAAGGCCUUGUUGUCCAAAGGGAUGCUGAGGAGGACCAGAGUGAGGAGAAUGCUGUCCUGAGACCAUGGAGGAUGCUCUGAAAGACCAGAGGUUCAGGACCAUGUGAUUCUGCAUCUCUGGCCAGAGGAGAUGGUUCAAGAAUCCCUCCCCUGACAAGCCUGAGGCAGACUCCAAGCCUCAGCAGGAAUCAGAACCUGAGGCUGUGCUUUUUUGCAUCUGUCUGAGUUUUCUUCUGUCUGUCCUGGGAACACUGCUAUAUGCUGGUAUCCAGUUCUAGUCUGCAUGGAUGGAAGCGGAAUGAAAGGUGGGAGUUGCUUGCUAAGUGCCUCACAGCAUCUGGUUCUAAAAAAACCAAACCUCUUAAUCUACUUUUUUGUCCUGUAUUAAUCUUCACUCUGCAUAUCCCGUUGACCAAUGUCUGCACACUUCAGUGACUAAUGGAAAUAUCUGAUACCGUGUAUGAAAGAAAGAAGCUUCAGAAUUUAAGGAUAGCAGAUUCUAUGUGCAUCUCUGAAAGGUGAAGGCCAUAUUUUUUUAGAGCAGUAACUUUGUCACUUUUGUUUUCAUAUUUGACACAGUAGUAUCCAACAUAUCAAGGUUUAAGUCCCCUGUUAUGAUUUUUAUAAUAGUUUUGCAUUUAUUCUAGACAUACUGUCUGGCUGCACAUUGAAUAAUACAUUUAAAAUGGGGCGUUUUGUAAUUGGCUCUUAGACUAUCUACAUAUGAAUGCCGAGAACUAAAUUCUGCUCUCAUUUACUUUGGUGUAAAUCCAGGCAAGUUACUCUGGAUUUAUAUAGGUGUAUCUGAGAGGAAAAUUUGGCCUUGUAUCUGUUAUCCUGUUUGCUGAUCUAAUACAACAUGUUAAAAGGAAAAUGUUGUUCAUUUGGCAAAACUGGAUUAUUUGAUUUUCUUCUGUUGCAAACUGAAUGUCACUGUUAUAUCACUGCUUUUGUUAGUUGCUUUUAGAGUCUUUGUGUAAAGUAUCCAACAGUCUGAACCACAGGAGCCAAAUGGAAGGUACAAAGUAAGCUUCAUGUUCAGUGUUUACAAAUGUUAAAAAGGAGAAAGUGGAAAAGCUGGUGGAUAUGACCAUCAUAAUUAUAUUCUUAAUUAUUAAUAAAAAUACUGCAGUAAAGUAUCAUUUUACGCUAUCCUUCUGUAUUUAGAUCUGAUAAUGGAAGAUUGCAGGCUGAACAUUGCUUGUUCCAGUCUCUCUGCCAAAUUUCCUAACGAAUUCUCUUUGUCGUGCAAGCUUGCCCAGUUGGCUUGAUGCUUACAUGCUUCACAUACCUUUGGUGCCACAUUAAGUAAUGUAAUCUCUGUAAAAUACAGAAUAACAGUGCAAUUGUUUGUACUCUCUCCAAAUUAACUGCAUUUUAAUUUUCAUUGUGUAUCACUUGUGACGCUAUAAAACACACGCUGCCUU